rnacentral:lncRNA from 1 species
UCCACGUUGGCUGGUUUGAAACUGUGGUGUAUGUUUAAGCUCAGGCUGGAAAAGGAUCACUGAAAGUCACUUGGAUGGUGUCUCGUGUGUCUGUGAUGAGCUUGCUGUUGCUUUCUUUCUCCUUGACAGAUGAGAAAACAGUGGCUUCAAAGGUUAAACAACUUGUCUUCGAUUGCACAGCUAACAAGAGCUCACUGUCCAAAGGGAGUCUCUCUCCCCGGUCCACAUGCUGAGGCUUGCUCCAGAGUGAAUGUGUGCACUGGAAAGAACCCACACAGGCCCCCUGAGAGCUGUCAGCCUUGCCAGGCUUCUGUGAGAUCCCUGGGUCCGAGUAGCCAAGCUGGGAGGAGCACCAUUUGCCCACUGACUCUUGGGCAACGCUGCAGCCUGCAUCCCAGCCGGCAGAAGGCAGGUGGUAUCACAGCUGAGUUUACAGCCACGGAAGGAACCACUGUAGGCUUUUAGUAGAUAAUAUGUUUUCUCUGCUUCAAAUCCUUAUUUUGGUUGCUUAAAAUUUCUGCAGAAAACAAACAGCUUCUGCCAAAAUUGGCUCACAAAAUUAGCUUACUAGUAUAAUCAGUUGUAUAGCAAGUAUUUACUGAGUAGCUCUUGGAAGGCAGUCAACACAAGAGGGAUGGAUCAUUCUUCCAGUUCAUCACACGUGGGUUGGACAUGCUAACAGUCCCCGAUAGCUAUCAGGCGAGUAAAUGGAUGAUCACACAAAGGCAGAGGCAUCGCAGAAGGAUGCUAACUAGAUGUCAUGCGUCAAGGAUACUACAGAAGGAUCUCUUUGCUGACAAGGAGGGUACCUCUAAGGUUCCUUCAGAUGGGAUGGUUCUCUGUUCACCGUGAUCACUACUAUGCAAAGGCCUGUGGGCCAUUUAGGAGAAAAGCAUUCAGUCCAAUUCCACAGACACAGUGAGGAUGUAAUAUGCCCUAGGCAUAUAUGAGUGGAUCCAAGGAGGAAAUACUCAGUCACUACUGUCAAGAACUCAUGACCUGCUGCAGGGUUUGCCAAACUAUGGCUUGUGGGCCAAUCUGGCUCACCACCUAUUUUAGUAAAUAAUGUUUUACUGGAAUCCAGACACGCUUGUUUGAUUACAUAUUGUCUAUGGCUGCUGAGCACCCACUAUAAGGGCAAAGUUAAGUAGAUAGAGACUUUAUCACCCACAAAACCUAAAAUAUUUGACUGGAUGGCCCUCUACAGAAAAAGCCUGCGAACCUGUGGUCUUGUGGGAGGACACUGCUGGGCACAGUUAACUCUAAUUCUUGGCUGUAGCAUCUUGAAUAGGGUGGCAGUCCCUGGCUGCUGAGGGGGACAGCUGGACGGCUGCCUCCCAGGGGCAUUUCCAUGACUUGC